AUUGAACGCUGGCGGCAGGCUUAACACAUGCAAGUCGAGCGGGGGAAGGUAGCUUGCUACCGGACCUAGCGGCGGACGGGUGAGUAAUGCUUAGGAAUCUGCCUAUUAGUGGGGGACAACAUCUCGAAAGGGAUGCUAAUACCGCAUACGUCCUACGGGAGAAAGCAGGGGAUCUUCGGACCUUGCGCUAAUAGAUGAGCCUAAGUCGGAUUAGCUAGUUGGUGGGGUAAAGGCGUACCAAGGCGACGAUCUGUAGCGGGUCUGAGGGGAUGAUCCGCCACACUGGGACUGAGACACGGCCCAGACUCCUACGGGAGGCAGCAGUGGGGAAUAUUGGACAAUGGGGGGAACCCUGAUCCAGCCAUGCCGCGUGUGUGAAGAAGGCCUUAUGGUUGUAAAGCACUUUAAGCGAGGAGGAGCCUACUUUAGUUAAUACCUAGAGAUAGUGGACGUUACUCGCAGAAUAAGCACCGGCUAACUCUGUGCCAGCCGCCGCCGUAA
rnacentral:rRNA from 1 species